UAGUUAGGGCAAUCGCGGCAGUUUCGGCGUUCUGCGCCGGGCUGAUGAGGAAAGUCCGGGCUCCAUAGGGCGGUGUGCUGGAUAACGUCCAGCGGGGGCGACCCCAGAGACAGUGCCAUAGAAAUUUAAACCGCCGGCUUGCCGGUAAGGGUGGAAAGGUGCGGUAAGAGCGCACCAGCAGUCAGGUGACUGGCUGGCUUUGGUAAACCUCACACGGAGCAAGACCUAAUAGGGAAGGGAUGAUGCGGCCCGCGGAACCUUCCGGGUUGUGUCGCUUGAGCCGAUGGGCAACCAUCCGGCCUAGAUAAAUGA
rnacentral:RNase_P_RNA from 1 species